ACGGGUGAGUAACGCGUGGGAAUCUACCCAUCUCUACGGAACAACUCCGGGAAACUGGAGCUAAUACCGUAUACGUCCUUCGGGAGAAAGAUUUAUCGGAGAUGGAUGAGCCCGCGUUGGAUUAGCUAGUUGGUGGGGUAAUGGCCUACCAAGGCGACGAUCCAUAGCUGGUCUGAGAGGAUGAUCAGCCACAUUGGGACUGAGACACGGCCCAAACUCCUACGGGAGGCACCAGUGGGGAAUAUUGGACAAUGGGCGAAAGCCUGAUCCAGCCAUGCCGCGUGAGUGAUGAAGGCCCUAGGGUUGUAAAGCUCUUUCAACGGUGAAGAUUAUGACGGUCACCGUAGAAGAAGCCCCGGCUAACUUCGUGCCAGCAGCCGCGGUAAUACGAAGGGGGCUAGCGUUGUUCGGAAUUACUGGGCGUAAAGCGCACGUAUGCCGAUUGUUAAGUUAGGGGUGAAAUCCCAGGGCUCAACCCUGGAACUGCCUUUAAUACUGGCAAUCUCGAGUCCGAGAGAGGUGAGUGGAAUUCCGAGUGUAGAGGUGAAAUUCGUAGA
rnacentral:rRNA from 1 species